CCUACGGGAGGCAGCAGUAGGGAAUAUUGCUCAAUGGGGGAAACCCUGACGCAGCAACGCCGCGUGGAGGAUGAAGGUUUUCGGAUUGUAAACUCCUUUUGUUAGAGAAGAUAAUGACGGUAUCUAACGAAUAAGCACCGGCUAACUCCGUGCCAGCAGCCGAGGUAAUACGGAGGGUGCAAGCGUUACUCGGAAUCACUGGGCGUAAGGAGCACGUAGGCGGGAUAGCAAGUCAGAUGUGAAAUCCUAUGGCUUAACCAUAGAACUGCAUUUGAAACUGUUAUUCUAGAGUAUGGGAGAGGUAGGUGGAAUUCUUGGUGUAGGGGUAAAAUCCGUAGAGAUCAAGAGGAAUACUCAUUGCGAAGGCGACCUGCUAGAACAUAACUGACGCUGAUGCGCGAAAGCAUGGGGAGCAAACAGGAUUAGAUACCCCGUAGUC
rnacentral:rRNA from 1 species